CCUACGGGAGGCUGCAGUGGGGAAUAUUGGGCAAUGGGCGCAAGCCUGACCCAGCAACGCCGCGUGAAGGAAGACGGCUUUCGGGUUGUAAACUUCUUUUCUCAGGGACGAAGCAAGUGACGGUACCUGGGGAAUAAGCCACGGCUAACUACGGGCCAGCAGCAGCGGUAAUACGGAGGUGGCAAGCGUUAUCCGGAUUUACUGGGUGUAAAGGGCGUGUAGGCGGGGACGCAAGUCAGAUGUGAAAACCACGGGCUCAACCUGUGGCUUGCAUUUGAAACUGUGUUUCUUGAGUACUGGAGAGGUGGACGGAAUUCCUAGUGUAGCGGUGAAAUGCGUAGAUAUUAGGAGGAACACCAGUGGCGAAGGCGGUCUGCUGGACAGCAACUGACGCUGAGGCGCGAAAGCGUGGGGAGCAAACAGGAUUAGAUACCCCUGUAGUC
rnacentral:rRNA from 1 species